CAGCCGCCGCGGUAAUACCGGCGGCCCGAGUGGCGGUCACUAUUAUUGGGCUUAAAGCGUCCGUAGCCGGGGUGGGAAGUCCUCCGGGAAAUCUGGCCGCUUAACGGUCAGAAUGCCGGAGGAUACUCCCAGCCUAGGGAGCGGGGGAGGCCGAGGGUAUUCCCGGGGGAGGGGUGAAAUCCUAUAAUCCCGGGAGGACCACCUGUGGCGAAGGCGCUCGGCUGGAACGCGUCCGACGGUGAGGGACGAAGGCCAGGGGAGCAAACCGGAUUAGAUACCCGGGUAGUCCUGGCUGUAAACGAUGCGGACUUUGUGUCGGACAAGCUAUGAGCUUGUCCGGUGCCGGAGGGAAACCGUUAAGUCCGCCGCCUGGGGAGUACGGCCGCAAGGCUGAAACUUAAAGGAAUUGGCGGG
rnacentral:rRNA from 1 species